CUUUUGUUCUCGCGUGGUGGUCCGGCCCCAGCCUGCCAGGACCACAAAAAGCGCCACACUUGUUCCUUCUUGCCGAGCUUUUCGCUGUCCUUCAGCGGGGGAAGGUUUGAAUGAGACACUGUCACUGCCCCGGGGCAAAAAUGCAAAGCAGGCAAAGCAAACCCCCCCAAACCAACCCCCAAAAUCCCCCCAGACAGCUCCAGGUGCAGAAUAUAACACACGGAGGGGAAACAUGUGAAACGGUGUUCCUUUCUGAGCUGGAAUUAAAGGAAUUGGAUUAAUGAUUAUUUAAAUAGACACAUGUAAAAACAGAUUUUCUGCAGAUAGGAAACAGGUGAGUGCACAGGAUGGGUGAUAAGGGGACAGGUGGGUUAAUUAAAUUGCUUUUUAAAAUACAGAAGAAGGGUGUGAAGUAAGGAGGAAUGGAAGUGUUGGAGUUUAGGGUGGCUGGGUUGAGUUUUAGCUCCUCAUAAUCACAAAGCUGUCAUUUAAAAGGAGGAUGCUCAGAGAGAAAGGCAGAGCCUUCCUGAAAUGGAGAGAAUUAAUCUCUCCUGGAAUUACCUCCCUGAAACCCCUUCAUCCAAUUUUACACCCAACUCCUUUUCAGACGAAGGAAGAGAAGAAAUAUUUGCCAGAGUAUCCCUAAAACUGAUAAGAAGGGCAGGCAGGGGGAAUCAGCCCCUCUGGGGUCUGUGCCCUCAUCCCAGAGAAAAUCUCUCCUGGAACUCCCCAGUUCAGCUCUUCUUUUCCUGGCUGGCAGCAGGAUGGUGCUUGGGAACACUUGAAAAGCGUUGUGAUUGUUUUGGGGUUUUUUAAUAUCCUGGGAGAAAUUAAAUCAACAGACAAAUGUGGAAGCUCUGAGUGGAAAAUCAAGUCCAGGCUUGUGUGUAGAGAAAAAAAAAUAGCGAUAACAAGGCAAAUCCUGCAAUUUCAGGUUUAUGUUACACUCAUGGGGCAAUGGGGGGAAAGUCCUGCUCAGCUUUUAGAGCUGUCCUCUGUCUGCAGGCAGCAAUCCCAGACUCUCCAUUAGUUGUGCAGUAAAAGUCAGGGAAAGAUGGGAGCAGACAAAAUAUGGGAUGAGAGAGCAGUGGCUGCAGGAUGAGAGGAUGAUUUCUGUGCUGUUGCUUUGGCCUGACAUGAUAGAACAACUUAAAAAAAGCCCAACCUGGGGCAUCCAGACAGGCUCCAGGAGCUUCCAAAGUGGACUUAAAAAUGGACAAUGUGUUUUCCCAAUUUCCCUGGGCUCAGUUUUCCUGAGCUUUGAAUCCUGGGUAUCCUCUUCCAUCUCUCAACACAGAUCUCCAGCCAAAUAAUAUCCAGGAAAAACACUGGGGAAGCUCAUCAAGGUCCCUCUGUAUCUGCCACUGCCUGGCUCAGGAUUUGAUGGAUCAACAGUGCCAAGGAGCAGAGGGACAGCACUGGGAAUUCCCAGCCUGGAUAAAUCACAGUUCCAUCCCAUCCUCAGGCUGGAAACAGAGAAUUGUGAGGAACAAACUGACAGAGGUGGGGAGAGAACAGGAAAAUGAAUGUAUCUUUAAUAAAUGUUUCUUUAAUUCUUUUUAUAAAACUCUUGUAAUUCCAUUCCUUUAAUUCUUUUUAUAAAACUCUCAUAAUUCUAUUCCAGCCCCCUUGGUAAGAGCAUAUGGAUUUAUGUGUGGUGAUAGAACAGCUUCAAUCCUUGGGAAUCUUUCCUGGUUCCUCACUGGCUCACUCUGGCAGUCUUGAAAAGAUGAGGAUGGGGAUUUUCCUUCCCC